rnacentral:rRNA from 1 species
AUUGAACGCUGGCGGCAGGCCUAACACAUGCAAGUCGAACGAGUGGCGGACGGGUGAGUAAUGUCUGGGAAACUUCCUGAUGGCGGGGGAUAACUACUGGCAACGGUAGCUAAUACCGCAUACCAUCGGAUGUGCCCCUAUGGGAUUAGUUAGUAGGUGGGGUAAAGGCUCACCUAGGCGACGAUCCCUAGCUGGUCUGAGAGGAUGACCAGCCACAGUGGAACUGAGACAGGGUCAAGACGCCUAAGGGAGGCAGCAGUGGGGAAUAUUGCACAGUGGGCGAAAGCCUGAUGCAGCCGUGCCGCGUGUAUGGAGAAGGCCUUCGGGUUGUAAAGUACGUUCAGCGGGGAGGCGUUACCCGCAGAAGAAGCACCGGCUAACUCCGUGCCAGCAGCCGCGGUAAUUC